rnacentral:rRNA from 1 species
GGNNNNUGGCUCGGAUGACGCUGGCGGCGUGCUUAACACAUGCAAGUCGAGCGAGGGAGCACCUUCGGGUGUGAACUAGCGGCGGACGGGUGAGUAACACGUGGGCAACCUGCCUUACAGAGGGGGAUAGCCUUCCGAAAGGAAGAUUAAUACCGCAUAUUAUGAUUUUUCUGCAUGGGAAAGUCAUGAAAGGAGCAAUCCGCUGUAAGAUGGGCCCGCGGCGCAUUAGCUAGUUGGUGAGGUAAGGGCUCACCAAGGCGACGAUGCGUAGCCGACCUGAGAGGGUGAUCGGCCACAUUGGGACUGAGACACGGCCCACACUCCUACGGGAGGCAGCAGUGGGGAAUAUUGCACAUGCGGGAAACCCUGAUGCACCAACGCCGCGUGAGUGAUGACGGUGUUCGGGUUGUAAACCCUGUCUUCAGGGACGAAAAUGACGGUACCUGAGGAGGAAGCCACGGCUAACUACGUGCCAACAGCCCGGGUAAUUCCUAGGUGGGGAGCGUUAUCCGAUUUACUGGGCUAAAGGAAGCGUAAGGGGAAUUUUAGUGGGAAGUGAAAUACCCGGGCUCACCUGGGAACUGCCUUUCCAAAUGGGAAUUCUAGAGUGCAGGANAGGGAAGCGGAAUUUCCUAAUGGANCGGGGAAAAUGCGCAAAAAAUAAGAAAAAAACCCCCCGGCGAAAGGGGGGUUUCUGGGAUGUAACUGAAACUGAGGGAUGGAAAGCGUGGGGGGAGAAACAAGGAUUUUAUACCCCUGGGAGUCCCCCCCCCAAACCAAGGGGGACUAGGUGGUGGGGGUUUUGAUACCCCUUUUGGCGCCCGCAAAAAAAACAAAUAACCCCCCCUGGGGGGGAACGGUCGGCANAAUUUAAACUCCACAGGAAUUUUCGGGGGCGCGCCAAAAAUAACGAGAAUGUGGGUUUUAUUUCGAAGAAACGCCGAAAA